GAACAAGUACCGUGAGGGAAAGAUGAAAAGAACUUUGAAAAGAGAGUUAACAGUACGUGAAAUUGUUGAAAGGGAAACGAUUGAGGCCAGUCAUGCCUGCGAGAAAUCAUCAUUUUAAUCUUAUUUUCGAAUUUGAUUAAUUGGUGCACUUUUUCGCGUGGCAGGUUGCAUCAACUUUAAUGGUUGUAAAAUGGUGGUCGGAAUGUGACUCUUUUAGAGUGUUAUACCGAUUGCAGAUGCAACGAUUGGGGUUGAGGUUUGCGGCAAAUGCCUUUGGGCUACUUACUUCCUUCUGAUCUGUUCACUUUAGAAUGACAGCUUGCUGACAUUUUGAAGGGCGUUCAUCAAUAGGGUAGAGUAUUGAUAAAUUUGCCAAGGAUGCUGACGUAAUGACCUUAAACGA
rnacentral:rRNA from 1 species